rnacentral:rRNA from 1 species
UACGUAGGGGGCAAGCGUUGUCCGGAAUUACUGGGCGUAAAGCGCACGCAGGCUGACUUAUAAGUCGGUAGUCUAAUGCGGAGGCUCAACUUCCGUUUAUCUAUCGAUACUGUAAGACUAGAGUAUGUGAGAGGGAAGUGGAAUUCCUGGUGUAGCGGUGAAAUGCGUAGAUAUCGGGAGGAACACCAGUGGCGAAGGCGACUUCCUGGCACAAUACUGACGCUCAUGUGCGAAAGCUAGGGUAGCGAACGGGAUUAGAUACCCCU